CACGAGUCCGAGUCGAGUCUCGAGUCAUUCAAAAAAUUAUAUUAUAAAUUAUAAUAAAUUCUCAUAAUUAAAUCCUAGUUUAUCCUAGUUGUAUUAUAUAGAAAAAAUAUAUGAUCUUUCUAUAAUCUGUUUUAUUUGAAAUUAAGGUCCUAUGAUGUAAGGGAUAAUGUACAGUACAUCCAGUUUUUUGCUUUAUAAUCCAUUACAAUGUACAAAACAGUCGUCCUGGCAACACGAGUAGUCAUUUUCAAUACAGUCGCUAAACGGACACAAGAGGGCGCCAGUGAGUCACGGUUUGUUAUACAUCAGUUUGUUAUACAGCUUCGUUGUUAUUGACGACAGUCAUUAUCAGAAAAUAUCAAACUUCGGAAUGUUUAAGAAUGUCAAUAUAAAACACAUGCUGACUGUGAUACGUUAAAAUAUGAGCUUUAAGUAAUAAAUGGAUUAACAUCUCUUUCUAUCUCUCUUAUGGACACACAUUAAGAAAUAGAAAAGCUGCAAAUAAUACGAAGAUUGAUAAAAACGUAGUGCUAGGUUUAAAGUCUAGAUUUUUUUUGUUCAUAUUUUAACAGGCUGGCAAUUCAAAUGAGCCAUGCAGCUACACCACAGUAUAAUAGCUAGCUGCGUGAGUUUAUGUGACUAACCUUUGUGGAUGCGAUGUCUCAUAAAAUUUGAUGAUGUUGUUCCGGCGUCUUUAAUUGUUUUUCCACAUUCUGUGCGUCUAGCUGAUCUGACGUGAUAAUAAACCCAAACGAAAGAACAUAUGUCAAGGUGGCUCCCGUCAUGUUUCAUGGGACUCUUAUUAUGACAUUUCGGAGUUUAUGCGCAUGGACAUACGUAAUCAAAUUCUAUGACAAGAGUCCGAUCUACCACGACACGUAAGGAAAUAUAUGUGACGCAGAUAUUAUAAAACCAUUUAAACACAACACAAAUUCUUUAUUUAUUAUAUCAGUAGUUAAGAGUAAAAGACUUGAGUCGUUUUUAAAAUAUUCCGAGUCUUUUGUGCCGAGUCGAGUCAAGUCUGAAGUCAUUUCAGGUCGAGUCCGAGUCUGAAGUCUGUUAAAAUGCGACUCGAGUCUGAGUCUCUAUAGGCAUAUUGGUUGGAGAACAUGUUGGUUUGUCAGGAUACUCGCUAAGAUGGGCAUGUUGACCAUUUUUGUGUGAAUUUGUCCAUUUAGGUGCAAGACUUGGAAGAGAAUUUGCACGAGAGUAUUUGCACGCUGUGAUGCAGCUCUCCAUGUAUGCGCUUCAGAUGAGUACACACACACACACACACACACAAAUCUCCUCACAGCGCAUGCAAAUUCUUUUGCGUCUUAUGGAUGAAUGUUUAAAUUGGCAAGGUUUAAAUGAGUUUAGUUUAAACACAGAUUGCAACGUGAGAUGUUCAUGUUUCACCUGCGCUCACGUGCUAUCAACACCCGGGUGAUGGCGGUGUAAAUGAUUGGUCAUAGAGCAUUCGGCACGUUUUUUUGAUCAUCGCUGUUGUAACGUAUUGGGAAACCAGAAUGCAUAUCCAUCGACUGAAACAUACAUUAGCCGAAUCCGUCUGUUUGUUUUACACGUUGUUGUUUUCAACAAACCAUAUUAUAGAUCAUAGCGUCAACAGAUUUGGGAUGAACCACAGUGCAAGUGCGUGCCGAACCAUGGGUGGAGAACCGAACGUGUUUUUCCCCAGAGCGUCAAUCCCCGAUCCAGAACACAGCUGGACCCAGAGCCCGUUCCGCCACCUGUGACCACGGAAGUAUCACGCGAGCUACCACCCACCGCAAUGCGUCAGCCGGAGUCUGAGGACAAGUGGCCAGUGCGGACCCUCUCCCCGGAAGAGGAGCCCCUCAGCCAAUCUGACCAGGGAGGUGCGCCCGUACCAUCUGUGGCUGAGGGAAUUCUGGUGGAGACACGGACAUCGGACUGGCUAAUAGACUUCAGCACAGAGCUUCACCAGAACCCCCCAACCUUUCAACUCAACCGGGUUCCCUCAUCCCAGCGGUUCGUCCUUAUUCGGUCAUCUCACCACCUCCGCCACGGACUUGCAAACCUGCCGCUAUGCUCUGUUCCUCCACCUCUACGGCUGCAGCGGGCUCCUCCUUCCCUUCUGACACACCUCGGUCAUGUGGAAGGAUGGUGGAGAUGAGCAUUGCAGUUCAGCCGGAUGAUCAGCCAGUAGCUGCUCGCAUCUCAGCCUGCUUGGAAAUUUCCGAGUUUCACCUGGAUGACCUUUACCUUCAGCUCAACCUUGCCAAGACAGAAGUGGUUUCAGCCAGCCCCUCCUUUGUGUUAUAAUUGAUCAGUUAAACUUUACAGGCCACAUUGCUAGAACUGCCUGAUCUUGCAGAUUUGUCUUGUACAACACUGGGAAGAUCAGGCCAUUCUUUUUGGAACAUGCUACUCAACUUGUCAUCCAAGCUCUUGUUCAAUCUAGACUGGAAUAUGCUCUCUUGGCUACUUGCAUCAAAGUCAAGGCACUGAUGUUUGCUUACAGAACAAUAGCUGGUUCUGCACCCCAGUACCUAAACUCACUGCUUCAGACUUAUAAACCCUUCAGAAGCUUGAGUUCUGAAAGGCACCUUGUGUUGCCAUCCCAAAGAGGCACAAAAUCACUUUCACAGACCUUUACCUGGACUGUUGCAUGCUGGGAGAAUAACCUGACUAACUAAAAACCAUUUUCAAGAGACUGCUAAAGAUGUUUUUUUUAUUUAUUUUUUUGUGAACACUUGACCUAUUAUUUCUGUUUAACUAAACAAACAAACAAAAAACCUUUCUACACGUACUGUGCUAGAUUAGCUGGAAAUUGUGAACUCCUAAUUUAGUCACUUUGGAUAAAAGGUAAUUGUAUAUGUAUAAAAUAAUAACAGUAAUGUUACAGAAUAAAGGUAUACAGCAAUUGUCUUUUAAUUUAGAUAUUUUUACUUGUUCUAAAUGAUAUACUAAGCUUUUAUUUCCUAUAAUUCAAGUAACUUGACAUACAAUGUGUUAUGUACAAUGACUAAUACAGUAAAUGUGCAGGCUCCUUUGACUAAAUGUAUCCUGUACUAUAUUUUGUUAAUUUAGCAGAAAUUGGCUUUAAAGGUUGAUAUUUUUAAUGUAUUUCUAAGUAAUUAAUUUAGAGAUUGGAGUUGUGAUUGGUUCUGUAAACAUAAAGAUUUGUUUUUGAAUUUGUGCUGAUUGCAUUUUUAUAAAUAAUUUCUUAGUUAUUGUACAUGGAAAAUCUCUGUUUUAAAAGAAAAUUACUGUAGAUGGACAAAGCAGCUUUAUAAAAUAACUCAUAAAAACCUUAUAUUUUCAGAGAUUAACCUGAAAGUUCGUCAUUUAUUAAAUUGACAUAAUAUAUCAGUUCACGGUUUAAUAAAUGAUUAUUAACAGUAAUAUACUGUGAUUUAAUUAAAUUUGACUGUAAAGUCUG